rnacentral:rRNA from 1 species
GCGUGGAGUAUGUGGUUUAAUUCGAUGCAACGCGAAGAACCUUACCUGGUCUUGACAUCCCGGAGACCCUUAGGAAACUAGGGGGUGCUUCCAUCUGGAAGAAUCUGGAGACAGGUGCUGCAUGGCUGUCGUCAGCUCGUGUCGUGAGAUGUUGGGUUAAGUCCCGCAACGAGCGCAACCCUUGCCUUUAGUUGCCAGCAGUUCGGCUGGGCACUCUAAAGGGACUGCCGGUGUUAAACCGGAGGAAGGUGGGGAUGACGUCAAGUCCUCAUGGCCUUUAUGACCAGGGCUACACACGUACUACAAUGGCCGAUACAAAGGGCAGCGACACUGCGAGGUGAAGCCAAUCCCGUAAAAUCGGUCUCAGUCCGGAUUGGAGUCUGCAACUCGACUCCAUGAAGUUGGAAUCGCUAGUAAUUGUGGAUCAGCAUGCCACGGUGAAUACGUUCCCGGGCCUU